rnacentral:rRNA from 1 species
CCCUUAGAUGUUCUGGGCCGCACGCGCGCUACACUGAUGCAUUCAACGAGUUUCUCCUUGUCCGAAAGGACUGGGUAACCCGCUGAACCUCCUUCGUGCUAGGGAUUGGGGCUUGUAAUUCUUCCCCAUGAACGAGGAAUUCCCAGUAAGCGCGAGUCAUAAGCUCGCGUUGAUUACGUCCCUGCCCUUUGUACACACCGCCCGUCGCUACUACCGAUUGGAUGGUUUAGUGAGAUCCUCGGAUUGGUCCCGGCGCGGCCUCUGGUCGUGCCGGAGUGCCGAAAAGAAUGUCGAACUUGAUCAUCUAGAGGAAGUAAAAGUCGUAACA